rnacentral:rRNA from 1 species
CCUACUGGUGGCAGCAGUUAGGAGUAUUGGUCAAUGGGCGGAAGCCUGAACCAGCCAAGUCGCGUGAGGGAGUAAGGCCCUACGGGUCGUAAACCUCUUUUGCCGGGGAGCAGUGCCCAGCUCGUGAGCUGGGAGGGAGCGUACCCGGAGAAAAAGCAUCGGCGAACUCCGUCCCAGCAGCCGCGUUAAUACGGAGGAUGCGAGCGUUAUACGGAUUUAUUGGGUUUAAAGGGUGCGUAGGCGGGCCUUCAGGCCGGCGGGAAAAUUGCGGGGCUCAACCCCGCCGAGCCGUCGGAACCGGGGGCCUUGAGUACCGGAGAAGUACGCGGAAUGCGUGGUGUAGCGGUGAAAUGCAUAGAUAUCACGCAGAACCCCGAUUGCGAAGGCAGCGUACCGGCCGGUCACUGACGCUGAGGCACGAAAGCGCGGGUAUCGAACAGGAUUAGAUACCCGGGUAGUC